rnacentral:rRNA from 1 species
UUCCGGUUGAUCCUGCCGGAGGCCAUUGCUAUCGGUUUCCGAUUUAGCCAUGCUAGUCGCACGGUUUCAGACCCGUGGCGAAAAGCUCAGUGACACGUGGCCAAACUACCCUGUGUAUCGGGACAACCUCGGCAAACUGAGGCUAAUCCCGAAUAGGGCUCACAGCCUGAAGUGGCGUGAGUCCGAAACACUCCAGCGCCACAGGAUGUGAUUGCGGCUGAUUAGGUUGACGGGGGGGUAACGGCCCACCGUGCCCAUAAUCGGUACGGGUUGUGAGAGCAAGAGACCGGAGACGGUAUCUGAGAAAAGAUACCGGGCCCUAUGGUGCGCAGCAGUUGCGAAACCUUUACACUGCGCGAGAGCUCUAUAAGGGGACCCCGAGUGCUAGGGCAUAUAGUCCUCGCUUUUCUGUACUGUUGGGAGGUCCAAGAAUAAAGGGCUGCCCAAGACCGGUGCCAUCCGCCGCGCGAAUACCUGCAGUCCGAGUGAUGCCAGAUUUU